AUUGAACGCUAGCGGUAUGCUUUACACAUGCAAGUCGAACGGCAGCGCGGACUUCGGUCUGGCGGCGAGUGGCGAACGGGUGAGUAAUGUAUCGGAACGUGCCCAGUAGCGGGGGAUAACUACGCGACAGCGUAGCUCAUACCGCAUACGCCCUACGGGGGAAAGCAGGGGAUCGUAAGACCUUGCACUAUUGGAGCGUCCGAUAUCGGAUUAUCUAGUUGGUGAGGUAACGGCUCACCAAGGCGACGAUCCGUAGGUGGUUUGAGAGGAGGAACAGCAAAACUGGAAAUGAGACACGGCCCAGACUACGACGGGAGGCAGCAGUGGGGAAUAUUGGACAAGGGGCGCAAGCCUGAUCAAGCCAUACCGGGUGGGGGAAGAAGGCCUUCGGGUUGAAAAGCACUUUUGGAGGGAAAGAAAAGCAGCGGGUUAAUACCCCGGGGACCUGACGGUACCAAAAGAAUAAGAACCGGCUAACUUCGUG
rnacentral:rRNA from 1 species